UCCUUUAGUAUGCAGUAAACCCAAGCCAAUUAAAUGCUUGGAACCUGAGGUUAUUCAGGUGCUAAUUAGAAGCCUCCCAGAGGACAACAUUUGUAUGCAUUAGUGCAGGUGAAGUGGCUGUAACUUCAACUCCUUAUUGUUGCUAUUAGUUUUGCCUGAGACAGUUUGAAAUAAUUAGAUUAAAACCUAGUAGUUAAACAAAACAAAUGUAUACCAACCAGCAAAGUUUAAAGUUAUUGAUGACAGAAUAGCACAUAGUAAAACUUGAAUGGUCUUCAUCACUUAUUCUGAACUCUCCUUUAGAGCUAUUUACAAUUGAUAAUUUAUAUCCUGCUAUUGAGACUUUCUAAUUGAUUUCCUGAGAUCCUGAAGAAAUGCUUACUACUAUUGCAAGAUAUUGUUCUCAGAUAUUCCGUAGACUUUCUACAUACAAAACAGAGAGAUCG
rnacentral:lncRNA from 1 species